GUAUGUCUCUCUCUCUCUGUAUGUGCUAUUCCUAGCCAGCUGUAAGGUAGCUGCUAUCCUUUUUUUCAGAAAUCUGUACCACAGGAUGCCCAAACCGGACAGUUUGUUUGACCAAUCCUGUGGAGUCAUUCUGGAACCGAUCUUCAGCAGAAGUGAGUGCUUUUGGCCUGUAGUCUGACAGGGUCUUUGUUCCUGUUCUCCAGUGUGGGUGAAAGUGUCCUUUCCACACCUUACAUCACAGCUGAGCAAACAAGGCACUGAAUCAUUCCAUAACUACAUGCUGUAAAUAUCAUCUGACCAGAAUUAUUGUAUUCAAGUAAACCUCCUCUGGUAGUCUUCUCUAAGCCCUUCCUAGAAAGGCCUCUCGCUAGCAAUACAACUUUGUUAGGAAAGGCAUGUUUAUAGAAAGUAUGUAUUUCUGAAAAAAGAAAGACCUUACAGACCAUUUUUUGAAAGGUUACAUGGUUUUUAAGGCAGAAUAGUUAAAGAAGGCGCUCUAAAUCUUGCUCCUGGGCGCUGGUAUAAAUCCAGUGUUAUCAUUGUGGUUGAUACUGUGGUAUAAAACAGCAUUAUUUUAUGACAUCCUGUAACAUGCAGUCAAUUGACCCUUUUGUAGUGUGGUGUGUCUAAGAAUCAAUGGCCUUUGCCAGCAUUAAAUGCUGUUAUUUCAUGCCAAUAUAUAUACUGUGGAAUUGUUCAGUACUGAAAAAAAACCUCAUGCUUGUUCUCCACAGUUUGCAGCAUCUGCAUGUGGUAAUGUCUCUGUCAUGCUGGAUGGAUCCAUAGAUAUGCCUUAUAAUCCAUCAAGCACUUUUGCUUCUGUAGAAGUCAAGAAUUUCAACUCCUCCAUCAUGAACAGCUUGAUCGUCUUGCUUGUUACCAAAGAAGGAGACACGUAAGUUCUUCAUGUAUUUUUCCUCAUUUGGUGUCUGUAUCUGUUCCUUUGCUACAGCAUUUCAGGCAGUGUUUGAGUGCUGUGUGGAUAACUUGUGUGGGAGUUUAGACUGUUAUAUUCUCCCUGUACAGUCUCUUAAGCUAUAUUAUACAGAAACUUAGACCUGAGGUCAUUCAUUCCAGAGGAAUGUAUGGAAAGCAUAUUGUACUGGACUUAUAUGUAUUUUGACAACAUUAUAAUUCUGAAUGUUCCUGUAAUUGUAACUAAUGAACUUUCUGUCACUUUAUUACCAGGCAAACCUGUGAGAGUGAUGCAUCGCUGAAAAAUCUGACAAACGACCUGGACCCUAAAUUGAAAUAUCAGUGCAAAGUUGUUUCACAGUGAGUUCAAAACUUCUGUUUUAUUUGCAUGUGUGUAGGAUUGUUUUAUUGUUUUAUUUGUUUGCUUACUCUCUCUCUCUCUCUCUCUCUCUCUCUCUCUCUCUCUCUCUCUCUCGUUCGCUCUCUCUGAAUACUCCAGGGCACAACUUCAGACUUGCAUUGUUCAUUAGUGGUGACCCUCAUUCAACCCGCAGUCCACGCAGAAGCCUAUCCACUGCCUAUCCAAAAGCCUGCUGUGUUCAUUUCCUAAUACCCUCCAAAUAUAUGCUUGGGAGAAAAGUGUGCUGCUUUGACAGCAGUGAAGAACCCCAAUGAUAAAAGUGUGCUGCUUUGACAGCAGUGAAGAACCCCAAUGAGAUAGGUUUCCAUAGUGUUAGUUUGUAGCAGAGAGACAGGGAGAGAUGCAGAUACAAAGAACAGGGCAGUGAUACUUUAUUAAUGUGAUUCGUCAUUUGGGGAAGUCAGGACAGGGAUUAAUGUGUGGUGUCAGAGGAAGACUGUAUACUAAAUAUCACUUCAACUAGACUUGAGGACCAGAAUAAUACUUCAUUACAAGACUUUGGAAAUGUGAAUUCUGUUCUAUUCUAUUUUAGUCAGGACUCCAAAGCUACCCAAACCCACUAAGAAAGAGAGUGGCAUUUUGAACUGCUUCCUUAUUUCUAAUUUGCCUAAACGCUAAAUAAUCUACAGGGGUCAUAGUUAGCCAUGCUAUACGCUUCGCAUGAUGCAGAAGUUCGUCUUUGAGAAUAAAAUAAAUCACAUUUAG
rnacentral:lncRNA from 1 species